GGAAGUGUCGGUGACAGGAAGAGGGGUGGUGUCACCUGUGGAUGCUGAGGAAGUGCUGGUGACAGGAAGAGGGGUGCCGUGACCUGUGGACACUGAGGAAGCGUCGGUGACAGGAAGAGAGGUGGCGUGACCUGUGGACACUGACGAAGCGUCGGUGACAGGAAGAGGGGUGGUGUGACCUGUGGAUGCUGAGGAAGGGCUGGUGACAUGAAGAGGGGUGGCGUGACCUGUGGAUACUGAGGAAGUGCCGGUGACAGGAAGAGGGGUGGCGUGACCGGUGGAUGCUGAGGAAGUGCUGGUGACAGGAAGAGGGGUGGCGUG
rnacentral:lncRNA from 1 species